UUUGGCACUAUGGUUUCAUUGAUAUCAGGAUUUGAUGAACUCUCAACAUUCAGAAUUUUUUUAAGUUUACCCAUUUCAAAAAGAAUGGAGUUCUACAAAGAAAGAAACUGAGCUGUAUCUCUAACCCUGAUCAGAGACUUCACCAUAAACUCCGGACAGAAGGCAAGAAGUAUCGGAGAGCUGAAGUAGGUAAAAAAUUACCCGACGCAAAUAUGGGCACGGAGUCAGGUGUCCACUUUACAUGCGAAUGGGUUAACCGGUGGAUGGUAACUUGCCCAAG
rnacentral:misc_RNA from 1 species